UAUUUAUCUAGUUAGUUUUCAACAAUCACCUCUUCAUUUUAACCUUGAUAAUUGAAGGUAUAAAUUUACCACCACUGUUGUCAUCUUGUCAAAACAACAAUCAUUUGGCGCCAACUUCGACUGGGCACCAUGGCUACUCAAGAGACUCAAGACAAGAAGAGGAACAGGAAGACGAGCUGGACGCCUUCAUCUGGCCCACCUAUACAAAAUUCUAGCAAAAAUACUCCGGAGCGACUUCUCCACAGCUGGCUGCUCUAAGGAAGCCAGAAAUGCUGCUUGGAGGACCAAUAGUGCGGAGGUGUCUGCCGUGUCAGACAUUCUCCACACUGAGGAGUGCCAGAAACAUUGGCAUAUUAUAAAAUCUGAGGCAAGACGGAACACCCGCAAGCAGAGAGAAGCCAUGACUGCCACAGGUGGUGGACCUCCUGCCAACCCUCCUCUCUCCCAGCUCGAUGAGUUAAUCUUUGAGAUUUUGGACCCCAAGAAUGUCUCUAUUCAUGGGUGUACCAAUAAGGCAAGCAUCAUUGAAUGCACCUUCCUUAACAAAGGAUAAGCCACUUGUAGAUAUAGCAAUAUUAGGCCAUAAUGUUGUCUCAAAUGUCUGCAACCCAAAAUACUCGUGUUCCCAGUUAGUUUACAACUUAGUUAUACACAAUGGUAAAUUUGUUAUCUAGUGUUGAGAAAACUUCAUUUAUUUUUUUUUUAUUUUAUUCUUUAAC